rnacentral:rRNA from 1 species
AGAGUUUGAUCAUGGCUCAGGAUGAACGCUGGCGGCGUGCCUAAUACAUGCAAGUCGAGCGAAUGGAUUAAGAGCUUGCUCUUAUGAAGUUAGCGGCGGACGGGUGAGUGACACGUGGGUAACCUGCCCAUAAGACUGGGAUAACUCCGGGAAACCGGGGCUAAUACCGGAUAAUAUUUUGAACCGCAUGGUUCGAAAUUGAAAGGCGGCUUCGGCUGUCACUUAUGGAUGGACCCGCGUCGCAUUAGCUAGUUGGUGAGGUAACGGCUCACCAAGGCAACGAUGCGUAGCCGACCUGAGAGGGUGAUCGGCCACACUGGGACUGAGACACGGCCCAGACUCCUACGGGAGGCAGCAGUAGGGAAUCUUCCGCAAUGGACGAAAGUCUGACGGAGCAACGCCGCGUGAGUGAUGAAGGCUUUCGGGUCGUAAAACUCUGUUGUUAGGGAAGAACAAGUGCCGUUCAAAUAGGGCGGUACCAUGACGGUACCUGACGAGCAAGCCACGGCUAACUACGUGCCAGCAGCCGCGGUAAUACGUAGGUGGCAAGCGUUAUCCGGAAUUAUUGGGCGUAAAGCGCGCGCAGGUGGUUUCUUAAGUCUGAUGUGAAAGCCCACGGCUCAACCGUGGAGGGUCAUUGGAAACUGGGAGACUUGAGUGCAGAAGAGGAAAGUGGAAUUCCAUGUGUAGCGGUGAAAUGCGUAGAGAUAUGGAGGAACACCAGUGGCGAAGGCGACUUUCUGGUCUGUAACUGACACUGAGGCGCGAAAGCAUGGGGAGCGAACAGGAUUAGAUACCCUGGUAGU